rnacentral:rRNA from 1 species
AUUGAACGCUGGCGGCAGGCCUAACACAUGCAAGUCGAACGGUAACAGGAAGAAGCUUGCUUCUUUGCUGACGAGUGGCGGACGGGUGAGUAAUGUCUGGGAAACUGCCUGAUGGAGGGGGAUAACUACUGGAAACGGUAGCUAAUACCGCAUAACUUCGCAAGACCAAAGAGGGGGACCUUCGGGCCUCUUGCCAUCGGAUGUGCCCAGAUGGGAUUAGCUAGUAGGUGGGGUAACGGCUCACCUAGGCGACGAUCCCUAGCUGGUCUGAGAGGAUGACCAGCCACACUGGAACUGAGACACGGUCCAGACUCCUACGGGAGGCAGCAGUGGGGAAUAUUGCACAAUGGGCGCAAGCCUGAUGCAGCCAUGCCGCGUGUAUGAAGAAGGCCUUCGGGUUGUAAAGUACUUUCAGCGGGGAGGAAGGGAGUAAAGUUAAUACCUGUGCUCAUUGACGUUACCCGCAGAAGAAGCACCGGCUAACUCCGUG